GCCGGUGUGGUGGAAUUGGUAGACACGACGGAUUCAAAAUCCGUUGCCUUCGGGCGUGGCGGUUCAAGUCCGCCCACCGGUACCA
rnacentral:tRNA from 1 species